rnacentral:lncRNA from 1 species
AAAUACUAUUACCAAUAAUGACAAACCAAAACUGUAAUAUGACUCCCAUAUUCCUUACAUUAUUAAAUGAAACUCCUUUCACAUUGUAAGAUUACGGUAGAUUUUUCUACUUAACGAUGUUAAAGCCAGUCAAUCUCCUAGUUCUUCCAGUAUUUCUCAAAUCCAUUAUAUUGCAUCUAUUUUUAAUGCCACCUUGCUAUCUUUUUUCUAGCCUAUUGCAGUGUUACCUAAUAGCCUGUCAUGACUCUGUGUUUGUUCAUAUUUCAUAUUUGGCAGAACAUAAUAAAAUGGGAACAGGGAGGCAUAAGCUCAGUGAGUGAGCACUUCACUAACACUAGAUGAUAGACACUCCUCUAAAUAAUAUGUAUUAACUAAUUUAUUUAAUCUUCAUAAUAGUUAUUUGAAAGAGGUACUAUUAUUAUUAUUAUUAUCAUUAUUAUUAUUAUUAUUGGUACUGAGGAUUGAACUAGGUAUUUAACCACUGAGCUACUUCUUCAGCCCUUUUUAUUUUUUAUUUUGAGAUAGGUCUCACUAAGUUGCUUAGAAUUUUGCUAAGUUGCUGGGGCUAGCUUUGAGCCUGUGAUCCUGCUGCCUCAGCCUCUCUAACUACUGGGAUAAUAGGAGUGUGUCACCAUGCCCAGCUCAUUAUUGUUUCUUUUAUGAGUGAAGAAACUGUACCCUAAAGUCAAAAGACUAGAUAAGGCCACACGCCUAAUUUCUGGAAGAGGCAAGGGCUGAACCCAGGUAUUCCAGCCCCAGAGUGUGUGUUCUUAUCCCUGCCCUCUGUGCAGCUGCUCACGUGUGCUGUGCUGCUCUACUCCUGCGGCCUUGUAUUUGUUGUUGCUCUUCUCUUGAUAUCCUGACUCCCUUUCCUCUGAACAGCUACUUCUACUAACCUUUUCAGAGGUAGUGCGGACAUCUCUUCUUUGAGGGCUUUGGUGGAAUCUUUCUUAUAUAUUCUUUUCCAGGAUUUAAGUCAUCUUCUGUUUGCCCGUUGAAUUUCUAUUAUAGUACUCAU